GUCCACGCCCUAAACGAUGUCAACUGGGUGUUGGGGAAGCGAUUCCUUGGUACCGUAGCUAACGCGUGAAGUUGACCGCCUGGGGAGUACGGCCGCAAGGUUAAAACUCAAAGGAAUUGACGGGGACCCGCACAAGCGGUGGAUGAUGUGGAUUAAUUCGAUGCAACGCGAACAACCUUACCUACCCUUGACAUGUCCGGAACCCUGCUGAGAGGUGGGGGUGCCCGAAAGGGAAUCGGAACACAGGUGCUGCAUGGCUGUCGU
rnacentral:rRNA from 1 species